rnacentral:rRNA from 1 species
CCUACGGGUGGCAGCAGUGAGGAAUAUUGGUCAAUGGCCGGAAGGCUGAACCAGCCAUGCCGCGUGAAGGGCAGGGCCCUAUGGGCGUUAAACUUCUUUUGUGCGGGAGCAAUAAUGGUCACGUGUGGCCAGACGAGAGUACCGUACGAAUAAGCAUCGGCUAACUCCGUGCCAGCAGCCGCGGUAAUACGGGGGAUGCAAGCGUUAUCCGGAUUUAUUGGGUUUAAAGGGUGCGUAGGCUGUGAGGUAAGUCAGGGGUGAAAUGCCCCCGCUCAACGGGGUGAAGUGCCAUUGAUACUGCCUGGCUGGAAUGCGGAUGCCGUGGGAGGAAUGUGUGGUGUAGCGGUGAAAUGCAUAGAUAUCACACAGAACACCGAUUGCGAAGGCAUCUCACGAAUCCGCGAUUGACGCUGAUGCACGAAAGCGUGGGUAUCAAACAGGAUUAGAUACCCCAGUAGUC